CCCUUAGAUGUCCGGGGCCGCACGCGCGCUACACUGAAGGAAUCAGCGUGGCUUUCUCCCUGACCCGAAAGGGUUGGGAAACCCGUUGAAUCUCCUUCGUGAUAGGGAUUGGGGCUUGAAAUUGUUCCCCAUGAACGAGGAAUUCCCAGUAAGCGCGAGUCAUAAGCUCGCGUUGAUUACGUCCCUGCCCUUUGUACCAACCGCCCGUCGCUACUACCGAUUGAACGGUUUAGUGAGGGCCUCGGAUUGGUCUCGGCCCGCUCUUUACCGGGCGGCGCCGUUGGUCGAGAAGACGCUCGAACUUGAUCGUUUAGAGGAAGUAAAAGUCGUAACA
rnacentral:rRNA from 1 species